UACGUAGGGAGCAAGCGUUGUUCGGAUUUACUGGGCGUAAAGGGCGCGUAGGCGGCGCGGUAAGUCACUUGUGAAAUCUCUGAGCUUAACUCAGAACGGCCAAGUGAAACUGUCAAGCUAGAGUGCAGAAGGGGCAAUCGGAAUUCUUGGUGUAGCGGUGAAAUGCGUAGAUAUCAAGAGGAACACCUGAGGUGAAGACGGGUUGCUGGGCUGACACGUGACGCUGAGGCGCGAAGCCAGGGGAGCAAACGGG
rnacentral:rRNA from 1 species